rnacentral:rRNA from 1 species
AUUCCAGCUCCAAUAGCGUAUAUUUAAGUUGUUGCAGUUAAAAAGCUCGUAGUUGGAUUUCGGGUGUCAUCUGCCGGUCCGCCGUUUCGGUGUGCACUGGCGGGCGUCAUCUUUCUGUCGAGGACGCGCUCCUGUCCUUUAUUGGUCGGGACGCGGAGUCGGCGAGGUUACUUUGAAAAAAUUAGAGUGUUCAAAGCGGGCUUACGCUUGAAUAUAUUAGCAUGGAAUAACACUAUAGGACUCCUGUCCUAUUUUGUUGGUCUUCGGGACGGGAGUAAUGAUUAAGAGGAACAGUUGGGGGCAUUCGUAUUUCAUUGUCAGAGGUGAAAUUCUUGGAUUUAUGAAAGACGAACUUCUGCGAAAGCAUUUGCCAAGGAUGUUUUCAUUA